rnacentral:rRNA from 1 species
UACGUAGGGGGGCAAGCGUUGUCCGGAAUCAUUGGGCGUAAAGAGCGUGUAGGCGGCCCGAUAAGUCCGCUGUGAAAGUCCAGGGCUCAACCCUGGAAUGCCGGUGGAUACUGUCGGGCUCGAAUCCGGAAGAGGUGAGUGGAAUUCCUGGUGUAGCGGUGAAAUGACGCAGAUAUCAGGAGGAACACCAAUGGCGAAGGCAGCUCACUGGGACGGUAUUGACGCUGAGACGCGAAAGCGUGGGGAGCAAACAGG